UACAGCAGAAAGACCCACACCUCCUAGGCCAAAGACAGCACAAGUCGAACCAGGGGUGACCUGCAAGCAGGAAAAUUAUAAAGUAACUUCUAAAGCAGCCAGUCCCACUUUUUUUCUUUUAAGAGUCAGGAGGAAGUGGGGGCAUGAACAUAUGAGUUAAAGACAGCCUGCUAUUAAACUCUAUGAUAUAGCCAAUGGAGGAAAUCUGCCAAUGUGAAAAUGGAUGCAUUACUACCUAAAUUUGGAGAAUUAUUUAGUGUUCAUUAAGAUUAUAAGAAACAAACCCAAGUAAAAAUAAUUCCCUUGUUUUACUUUUUCCCUUCAGUGUUAUCUGAACAAAAUUUGAACACCCACACAUUCUGAAGGGUUUAUUGCUUUCCUUUUAAAAUUGGAUCACUAUUAAUUUGACAUCUAUAUUUUGAAUAGGCCUCAUUUUGUUGUAUUAAUAUUACAGUGAUUUACUUGAUCACUGCAAAUCACCAGUUUCGAAUGAAGUCCAAUUUGUUUUGCAUGGCAUGAAAGGAUUUUUAUUGUCUGACCUCUGUUUACUUUCCAGCUGCAUCCCCAUGAUAUUCCCAGUACAAGAACUGCGAACAGAUUGUUGCACUUUCUUCUCCUCAUGCCGUAGUUGACGCUGCUCCCUCAGACUGAUGUACUUUUCACCUUAUUUUCUUUAAUUAAAGUAUAACCUAUACUCCUAGGCCUGACUUCGAGGACAUUCUAUGAAAUUUUUCUUGAUUUUUCAAUCAGAAAUCAAUGCCUGUCUUUCUGCUUUUCCUGUAUCAUAUAAUUUAUAACCUGCCUUGAUUGUGUGUGUAUGUGUGUUUCUUUAAAAGACUGUAAAUUUUAUGAAGGCAGAAACUUUUUAGAUUCCACAUUAUUAUGAAAGAGUCUUCUGUAUAUUGAGUCUUUAAUAAAUAUUUGUUUCAUUGCAUUAAAUGGAAAUAAUAGCUAAGAUGGUAAGAAAAGAUGCUGUAACUGGAAUAUGUUAUUCUACAGACUAGUAUAGCGAUAGAAAAAUACUACAUAGAGAGAUACUUAAUAUUUCCUAAUGAGGAUGCAAAGCUGUUAGGAUUAAAACAUAAACAAAAGGAAAAGAGAAAAUCUGCUCAAGGUAAGUAUUAAUACAUUCUAAAUUGGAAACAAAAUUACUAAGCAACAGGUAAACUGCAAUAUUUUCCUUAUUUACUAUAAUAUUAGGUAUACACACCCCUGGCUUUUGCUACUCAGAGGAAAUAAUAAAUAUGUAUAUAUAUUGCAAAUAGUAAGAAUAUUGUUCUUAUGAUGGCUUCUUUACUAUAAUGUUGUGGCAUGUGUUCAGUAUGAUUCUCAAUAUAUUUCUCCAGAGUCUCAGUUAAAAAGAGCCUGUGAGUCUCUUAGGAAGUGGAAAUGCAUUUUUCCCAUUGCAGCAAUGUAACUAGUAGUUGGAUUCUCAGGCUAGCUCACAACAAUGUGUAAAUAUAAUAUGCUGCAUUACUUGUAUUAUACAACUGGACCCCUGUGUGUAAAAGUGCCUUUGCUUGCAGAACUUAGGUGGGGUCACUAUAAAUUGCCCCCACAAUUUGCAAGUAGGUCUACACACAGUAGAUGAUUAUCUAUCUGCAAGUACCACUGUUAGAGGACAUUUCCACACUUCCGAAGGUCUCUAUGUAAUGUUGUUUAAUUGGCAGUAAAGGAUACAAGCACAUCAAAAAGAAAGAGGGGUUCUGGUGAUGCUGGUGUGUUCUCAAUAAUUAUACAGAGAGGUUGCUUCACUUUUCUUCCCAGAAGUAAGUUAAAUUUUACUAAAGCUCUUGCCUUUUGGGCAGAAUUACUGAUACUUCACUUUCCUUAAUUUCUUCCUAUCAGAUUCAUUUCUCUCUGAGCAUCUCAUGAGGUGGCUUAGCAGCUAGAAUCUCUUCCUUAACAGUGGGAAGAACAACUCCUGGAAAUUUAGGUGGACUUUGACUGGAUUUAAAAGAAAGCUGUACAAUUCCACUUCUGUAUAUACACCCAAAGGAAAUGAGAUGUGUAUAUCCAUGUUCAAUGAAGCAUUAUUCACAAUAGCCAAAAUGUGGAACCAAUCCUUAAACAAAAGGAAAACAGAAAAUCUGCUCAAGGGACACAUCGGGUCAACAUUACGGCUGCUACCAGAGACCCUCCUUUGAAGCCACAAAGGGACAUGAUGAGUAGCAGAAAUGAAUUACUACUGAUGGAGGAAGAUAAAUCUGUAGCAUCAGGGAGAAGACAGGGGUGGUUGUGUGAAGAUGGAAGUGAGUUUCUGUCAUUUUUGUUGCCCUUUGACUGAGUCAGCUGUCUUAGGAUAAGCAUUCAUCCUUAGGAGACAUAUUUAAGCAGGCUGUAUUUAAAUCAGGGAAGAUCUAUAACCUAAUAUGUUAGUAUAGUAUAAGAACAUAUGCUGGGCCAAUUAUAUGUAGGCUACUGGGCCAGAUGUUUUACAUAUGUAAUAUGAUUCAAUUAUCCUCAUAAGUAUUUGUAGUAGAUAUUAUUCUAGAGGGAUUAAAUAACUUGCCUAAAAUCACAGAGGUAAUAAAUGACACAGCCACAGUUUGAAGAUAACUAACUCUAGUUCAUCUGUAUCACACUGCCUCCUAGUAACUUCUGUUUUACACAAACUGGUGUUUAACCGUUUACCUUGGCAUUGUUGAUUGCAGCCCCAUAGCCAGUUGAAAACCCACAUCCAAGCAGACAAACUCUCUCUAAAUUUGCAUCAUCAUCUAUUUUGGCAAGAUUGAUAUCUGACACCACAGUGUACUGAGAGAAUGUACUGAUUCCAAAGAAAUGGUAAACUGGUUUUCCUUUGCAGGUAAACCUGCUGGUUUUGUCUUCCAUUAGUUGUUGAUCACUAGCAGGACUUUUGAGAUUACUAGAAAAUUAAAAAAAAGAGUGAUACAAAUAAAGAGAAGUUAUAAUAAAUGGAACACUGAUCAUUUUCCUACAAAAUAUGUUGAGCAUUAUAUAUUUUUGAGGACAAUUUACAAGACAGAAAAAUUAGGGAAACAACAAGACUUUUCACAAAAUAUAGUUCAUUGGAUAACAGCAGAUUUUAAAAAUAACAACAACAAUUUUUAAAAAAGUGACAGGAUGUCAUUUUGUCACUCAGGCUGGAGUGCAGGGAACAAUUUUUUUUUUUAGAUGGAGUUUUUGCUCUUGUUGCCUAGGCUGGAGUGCAGUGGCACAAUCUCCGUUCACCGCAACCUCCGCCUCCCGAGUUCAAGCGAUUUUCCUGCCUCAGCCUCCCGAGUAGCUGGGAUUAUAGGCAUGCACCACCACGCCCGGCUAAUUUUGUAUUAUUAUUAUUAUUAUUUUUGAGAUGGAGUCUUGCUCUGUCACCCAGGCUGGAGUGCAGUGGCGUGAUCUCAGCUCAAUGCAACCUCCGCCUCCCGGGUUCAAGCAACUCUCCUGCCUCAGCCUCCUGAGUAGCUGGGAUUACAGGCAUGCACCACGAGGCCUGGCUAAUUUUUGUAUUUUUAGUAGAGAUGAAGUUUCAUUGUGUUGGCCAGGCUGGUCUCGAACUCCUGACUUCACUAUCCACCCGCCUCGGCCUCCCAAUGUGCUGGGAUUGCAGGCAUGAGCCACCGUACCCGGCCAGGGAACAAACUUUUAUUGAAUGCUUUUGUGUACCAGAAAUGCUUUUAAGGGCUUUACGUGUAUUAACUCUUAAACAUUUUUAUUGUGGAAAAUUUGAACAUGUAUAAAAGUAGAAGGAAUAGCAUAAUGAACCCUUAUGUGUCCAUGUCCCAGCUCCAGUAACCAUCAACUCAUGGCCAGUCAGGUUUCAUCUAUUAUUCCUCCACAAUACCUGCUCCCUCCCCCACAUUGGAAUAUUUUGAAGCAAAUCCCAGAUAUCACGAUUUCAUCUGUAAAAACAUUAUCAUGUAUCUCUAAAGGAUUAUUUUAGGUCCACAUUUUUGUUGUCUCUUAAUUAUCUUAAAUUAUAGAUCCCUUCUCCCUCUCUUUUUCCCCUUGCAAUUUAUUUGUUGAAGAAAUUGAAUCAUUUGUCCGAUAGAGUUUUCCUCAUUCUGGAUUUUGCUCAUAACAUUCCUGUAAUCUGGUUGAACAUAUUUCUCUAUCUCUGUAUCCCCUCAUAAAUUAGUAUUUUUGAUCU